rnacentral:misc_RNA from 1 species
GUACAAGUAAAAAUCCACUGGAGGCUCAAAAUAAUCAACCCAAAUGAACAGCCCCGCCCUAAAAAGUAAAAUCCAUGAAUACAGUAGCAGAAUCAUCUUCUUCCUUAACUUAGCACCGCCAAGUAUUCUUCAACAAGUUAGACCAUCGAAAGGGAGGGAAAGAAAGGAAGUUAGCUAUAAAGAAACUCAGCCUGAAUAAGUAGACCACCGAAAAACACCACCAUAAGACGCAUAACCCCAACUGGCAUCCGAGCCUCCAAAAACCAAGGAUCUCCCGACGACCACCUUCACAAGAGGAUGACACAAGUAGAGCUCGCCUUAUCAUUUGUUUAGAUUGAGGGAUUAUGGUGACAAG